UACGAAGGGGGCUAGCGUUGUUCGGAAUCACUGGGCGUAAAGGGCGCGUAGGCGGCUUUAUAAGUCGGGGGUGAAAGCCUGUGGCUCAACCACAGAAUUGCCUUCGAUACUGUAGAGCUUGAGACCGGAAGAGGUAAGUGGAACUGCGAGUGUAGAGGUGAAAUUCGUAGAUAUUCGCAAGAACACCAGUGGCGAAGGCGGCUUUCUGGACAGGUACUGACGCUGAGACGCGAAAGCGUGGGGAGCAAACGGG
rnacentral:rRNA from 1 species